rnacentral:rRNA from 1 species
UACGUAGGGUGCGAGCGUUAGUCGGAAUUACUGGGCGUAAAGCGUGCGCAGGCGGUUCGCCAAGUCAGGUGUGAAAUCCCCGGGCUUAACCUGGGAAUUGCGCUUGAAACUAGCGGGCUUGAGUGUGGCAGAGGGGGGUGGAAUUCCACGUGUAGCAGUGAAAUGCGUAGAGAUGUGGAGGAACACCGAUGGCGAAGGCAGCCCCCUGGGUCAACACUGACGCUCAUGCACGAAAGCGUGGGGAGCAAACAGG